rnacentral:rRNA from 1 species
AACCCUUGUCCUUAGUUACCAGCACGUUAUGGUGGGCACUCUAAGGAGACUGCCGGUGACAAACCGGAGGAAGGUGGGGAUGACGUCAAGUCAUCAUGGCCCUUACGGCCUGGGCUACACACGUGCUACAAUGGUCGGUACAAAGGGUUGCCAAGCCGCGAGGUGGAGCUAAUCCAUAAAACCGAUCGUAGUCCGGAUCGCAGUCUGCAACUCGACUGCGUGAAGUCGGAAUCGCUAGUAAUCGUGAAUCAGAAUGUCACGGUGAAUACGUUCCCGGGCCUU